rnacentral:rRNA from 1 species
UACGGAGGGGGCGAGCGUUAUUCGGAAUUAUUGGGCGUAAAGGGCGCGUAGGCGGCCUGGUCAGUCGAAGGUGAAAUCCCCGAGCUCAACUUGGGAACUGCCUUCGAUACUGCCGGGCUUGAGUCCGGGAGGGGAGAGUGGAAUUCCCAGUGUAGCGGUGAAAUGCGUAGAUAUUGGGAGGAACACCAGUGGCGAAGGCGGCUCACUGGCCCGAUACUGACGCUGAGGUGCGAAAGCGUGGGGAGCAAACAGG